rnacentral:rRNA from 1 species
AUUGAACGCUGGCGGCAUGCCUUACACAUGCAAGUCGAACGGCAGCACGGGAGCUUGCUCCUGGUGGCGAGUGGCGAACGGGUGAGUAAUACAUCGGAACGUACCCAGGAGUGGGGGAUAACGUAGCGAAAGUUACGCUAAUACCGCAUAUUCUGUGAGCAGGAAAGCGGGGGAUCGCAAGACCUCGCGCUCUUGGAGCGGCCGAUGUCGGAUUGGCUAGUUGGUGAGGUAAAAGCUCACCAAGGCGACGAUCCGUAGCAGGUCUGAGAGGAGGAUCUGCCACACUGGGACGGAGACACGGCCCAGACUCCUACGGGAGGCAGCAGUGGGGAAUUUUGGACAAUGGGGGCAACCCUGAUCCAGCCAUGCCGCGUGAGUGAAGAAGGCCUUCGGGUUGUAAAGCUCUUUCGGCGGGGAAGAAAUGGCAACGGCUAAUAUCCGUUGUUGAUGACGGUACCCGCAUAAGAAGCACCGGCUAACUACGUGCCAGCCGCCGCCGUAA